UGUAUUUUAUUUAGGAUGAAAUAUAAAAAGGCAAUAAAAUCUUAAUUAAUAACUAAAUAAUAAAAAGAUCAAACUUAAAAAAAAUAAAACAUCUUGGUUGACCAGUUAUUAAAUUAAUAGGAUAAAAGUAAGGCAGAAUUAUUAAAGUUGAAGCAAAACCCAACAUAUAAAAAUAUGCACUUCACUUGCCUUCACAAACAGAUGCAAACCAUCAAACAUUCUUUUGACAAAGAUGAACGCUCUUAAAAUUAUUUAUAUAUGUUCCUUAGAUAAAAGCUAAUUGGAAAAAAAGUUAAAUGAACCUUUUGUUACCGCUGUACUUCUUUCAUAAAAAAAAAAGAAAAUGAAAAAAAUAUAUACAAUAUACACAAAAUACAAAGCAAAGACUUCUCAUUACUUACAAUAAAGUCAAUGGUCUACAGAAUGGCCACUGAGAGAAAUCUAAAGCACUAUAAUCUUAACCUUUGCAGUAGGCUUGUUUGAUUGUCUUUGUCUAUUGCGUUCAGAAUACCACAGCAGGAUCAGCAACACACUUACUACACACUGACAACUGCGGCAACUGCUCUGGCAGCUGACACCAAUAUUGAGUCAGUCAGCUCCAAGAAACAUCAUGUGAAAUAUUGCACGAUCCUGAAGUCACACAAUGAGAGCUGACUAAUCAGAACUAAACAUUCAGGAUAAUUCACACAGCUACUAGGUUACAAACAACAACAGCUACAAAAAACAUUUAUCUGAGAUAAAGUCUAAGGGGGCAUGCUUCUGAAUUUGAAUUAUAUUUUUUAUCAUUUCUUAAUAUGUAUGAAUAUAUGCAUUUAAAAAAGAGAAUUUUUGGCUUUCAUAAAUGAAUAAAAAAAAUAAAAAUCAAGAUCACGCCUAGUAAACAGAAAAAAACUAAUUUGCUUUAGAAUAUAAAUGUUGACCUGAUCUUCUGUUAUUAGAGUUACAUAGUAUCUAAAUAUUAUAAUAGUUAUUUCAAUAAAAAAUAUUACAAAAUAUAAUUUAGCAGUAUAAAAGCAAAAAAAGACAGCUUUACACACGUUUUUAAGCUUUAUUUCAUAAAUAAACGACAUCCUGUGUAAACAGCAUUGAACGGCCAAAUAAAGCCUAUUCUUUCAAAGUCAGCAAACAAUAAACUAGUUAGAAUCACAUCACUACAGUGGACCACUUGUAGGGAUGAUGCAUAAGUGCGUAUAAGGUGACGUGCCGCCAACGUAUCAAAGUGGGAGGGAUAUCAUCCUACAAAUAUGUGCGAUCUUUCCCCCCCAUCACUAACCAUGGGAAGUAAAUUUGAAAAUCGACCAGAAACCACUCCGACGACCAGACACAAGGCAAGAAAAAAAAUCCAAAAACUCUCUGUCCGGAGAGUGAAAGGGUGAGGGAAGACUCAGCAAAUGCAUGAGACAAGAAACGUAAAAAAAAAAGUUAAAAAUAAAAGAAAGAAAAGAAAAGCCACCGUUAAAGAAGAUCUGUUGACAGCUCAACAUACUGUGAAGAACAGGAAUGAAUGCAAGAGACAGAAGACAAGCUGUAAAAGUGUGUUGGGACGCAUCCUGGAACGAUGUGAGACGCCAAGGGUGACUUUGAAAGAGGAAGAUGGGUAGCCCUCAGCACUUUUCCCUGAUCUCCAAGGAGGGCAGUAUGUGUGAAUGCACAGUUGCCUCUGUGCAUUGGCAUGUUGUCCUGAGGCAUUACUCUUGUUAAGGUUAUUAGAGAAGAUGUUUAGCACUAAUCAGUGGAGAGCCAAAGGGACCACAGCUAAAUGGCCUCAUCAUCACAGGGCCCUGGUGGUGAUAAAUCUAGCCCCAAGCAUUGAGAGGUCCAGCUGAAUGUGUAGGUGCAAAGCAGUGCAAUGUAAAUCAGUACUUAGAAAUUGAAUUUGGUCAUUUUUUCUGCUUUGUGGACAAAUUGCCAUUUUAUGAGAACAAUGAAGUACUCAAUCUUGAGUUUGCUUAAUUAAAUGGAUGUGAUUAUUUAAAUAAAUUACCUCUGUUAUUAUUGAGGAUUUUUCUGUUUUAAUUACUAAUCUUAUAUUUUAAGCUCUAUCCUUUUUCAAUGUAACAAAGGAUAAAAAAAAAGAAACAAUGGAAACAUGAGGAAACGCGUCUGUCCUUGUUUUUCUUUGUUCACUGUUUUUAUAGAUCGGAUUAUUUCCUACUUUCUCCACUUAGUUUUUUCCAGUAAACCCAUUCUCUUCCUUCACCGGGUUAUCUAGCCUCGAGCAAACUAGAACGUAAUGUUAAGGCACUAACUACAGUGUGUCUGCACACAGACCCAGCAGAGAGAAAGAAACAAUCAUGUGUGAAAUUAGAUUUCUCCACAAACAGAGGGGAGUCAGAGCCAUAAAGUACACCCAGCUCUUCGGCUUUGAAGGAUCAGCCAAAAAUAAAUAAAUAAAAAAUUUUACAAAUACCUUCACUUGAUGAUUUUUGCAAUUAUUUUUCUGGCAUUUCUUUUGCUUCUCUUUACAGGUGAACUCAUUUACAGAUGCUUAGAUGUGAGCCCAAUUAUGUCAUAACAAUAAAAAAAAGAAGUCAAAUGUUUCAAACCACUUUAAAUAGGAUUGUUUUUAAGUGUAAUUUGAGCACAGAACUUGCACCAAACUUUUUCAACAAGGUCUAUUGCAUGAGUGUUUAUACUUGUUCAACCUUUUCACAUUUUAUCAUUUCAUAUGUACAAACAUCUAUUUUGAUAGAAAAGAAUAAAGUAGCCCAUAAUUGUGAAGUGGAAGAAAAAUGAUAGAUUGUUUUCAAAUGUUUACAAAACUCUAUUCCAACCUAUUCUAUUUUGUGACUUAAUGCAAUCAGUUGGGUUUUCUCAGGUAAAAGACAUUUUACCAACUUGAAUAAUAAAGUGAACUCGUCUACGUUGUUUGAUGAAAACAGAUAUGAUUAAAACAGCAUGUUUAUAAUUGAUUUUAAAUCUGCAAGUCCAAUUGUUGAAUAUUUGUCAGCCCCCCUUUCUAUUUCACCCCUAGACAAAACUAAAUGUACAAAUGUUGGAAGAUCCUAAAACACCUGGUGAUGUAAGUGUAGAGAAAGGUAUUUCUACAUUUUCUCUUCUCAAAUAUGUGGUAUUUUGUUUUGGUCUAUCUCUAAAAAUUUAGAUAUAAUACAUUAUUAUUCAUAUAUACUUUUGCAAGGCCCUGUAUUUGCACAAUGAUUUAAAGGGAAGCAGUAGCAAUAUGUUCCACACUAGUGCAAGGUUCAGGCAAUCUUGCUCCUGAGAUGUUUCCUUUUUAUUGUAGCUGAGCUGAGCUUGGUGCCGUAUUUCAGCAAAAAAAGGGAUUUGAUCAUAUAUCCUGAUUUAUCAUUUGCAUUGGAAUUUCAUGAAAUCCCCGACAGUCUCAUCAAUGUGUAUCUCAUUUUCUUGUUUCACAAACAUACAAUAAAUCCUGAGUGAUAAUAGGGUAAAGGAUGUGAAUAUAUGUUAUUUUAUUCCCUUCACACCUGACAAGCAACUGCAGGCUGAAAUAUCCUUGUCUGUAUCAAUAGAGAGACAGAAGCUGCAAUGGGAGAUUUGGGAUUUUUGAAGCCCCUGUUCACAUUGAUGGAUAGAUGGUGAGUUCACCACUGAUAUGUCAGCAGAGAGAUUGUCAAACAGAAGGACAACUCAUAGGUUGUUAGACAACAUGUCUGAAGAGAAGAGAAAACUCAAGCUUAAGAGUGAUCUUGUGUUUUUUCAGGCACAAAGAUAUAUCAGCAUUAUGUUUGACAGACACACUGUCCCCUCUUCAUUCUAACACAAAUGCAGCUGAAACUGUACACUGCUUUUGCUUUCUCUAUCACCCUCGACACCGUCACUCGAGUAAUCCUCAAGAGACGGUAUCCCUCGAGGAUUGCAGUUGAAAACCCCUAUACGUUCUUAUCUAACCAAUACUUUCUGAAAACCCCUACUCUAGAUCAUCCAUAGUUUCAAGUCCUGUCUUAUACUAUUUCCUAUUAAGUUCAUCCCUCAGGUUUUCUAAAGGACUUUGGUCUGCAGACUGAGAUGGCAAUGGAGAAGCAAGGUUUUGUUUGUGUUAAACCAUUUCUGUGACAAAAUGGUUUAAUACAAAAAAGGUCACUAGAUUUAAAUCAUUUUGUUGGACGGGUUCAUUGUGCUAUGCUCUUUACCACAGGUUUGCAUGGCACUUGAAAGCAAUUAGGCUCACAUCAGAAUAGAUCCUAAAUUUUUAAUUUAAAGUACAUUGAAUUAAAUUAUUUUUUAUUUACCCCCACUGAAUAAAAGGAAUAGAAGUAAAGGUUAAUAUAUUCCAAAAUCUCAUUGUCAGGUGGGACUGUUUAAAAAUAAAUCAACUUAUUUUAAGACUUUUUAUGUGCUUAUUCAUGGAUAUGGAGUGAAAUGUAAAAUUAAAGUAAGUAUAUUUAUA